rnacentral:lncRNA from 1 species
UUCAGCAUACUAGCACUCUUAGUACUGAGGUAACAGAUUAGUUCCAGUUAUACUAAACCAGUACAAGGUGACCAAUUUCAACAGGGUAACAAUCGACGGUUUAGGUCAGAUACAAGUACAAUAACCACUAAGUUUCUUCAAUCAAUAUAUCUAGACACUAACAAAAACAAAAGACUAUAACUUCAUUGCCGAAUUCCCUAUGCAAAUACAGCUGAGAACCAUCCUUGGCCUCUUUGCUAGAAAUAUUUUGAAUCAUCAAAACAAGCAACUACUGACUUUUUAGUGGAAAAUGCAGUUUGACGAAAAUAGAAAUUUUCAUCUGACCUGGAUAUUGUAUUAGAGCCUGAACCCCGCCAUUCUUAUCAAACAACACACUUGGAAGAAAAUGGAAAUUUUCAUCUGACCUGGAUAUUGUAUUAGAGCCUGAACCCCACCAUUCUUAUCAAACAUUGC